GGUGAACGCUAGCGGUGCGCCUAACACAUGCAAGUCGAGCGGUAGAUUUGGUGCUUGCACUAAAUUGAGAGCGGCGAACGGGUGAGUAACAUGUUGAAAUCUGCCCCCAAGUCAGGGAUAGCCAUUGGAAACGAUGAUUAAUACCGGAUGUGCUCUACGGAGUAAAGAUUUAUCGCUUGGGGAGGAGUCUACACGGUAUCAGUUAGUUGGUGAGGUAAAGGCUCACCAAGACAAUGACGCCUAGCUGGUCUGAGAGGAUGAUCAGCCACAAUGGAACUGAGACACGGUCCAUACUCCUACGGGAGGCAGCAGUGAGGAAUCUUCCACAAUGGGCGAAAGCCUGAUGGAGCGACACCGCGUGAAGGAUGACAGCCUAACGGUUGUAAACUUCUUUUCUGGAGGAGCAUAAUGAGAGUACUUCAGGAAUAAGGGACGGCUAAUUAUG
rnacentral:rRNA from 1 species